rnacentral:rRNA from 1 species
UGAUGGCGUGCCUUUUGUAGAAUGAACCGGCGAGUUACGAUUUGAUGCAAGGUUAAGCAGUAAAUGUGGAGCCGUAGCGAAAGCGAGUCUGAAUAGGGCGUUUAGUAUUUGGUCGUAGACCCGAAACCAGGUGAUCUACCCUUGGUCAGGUUGAAGUUCAGGUAACACUGAAUGGAGGACCGAACCGACUUACGUUGAAAAGUGAGCGGAUGAACUGAGGGUAGCGGAGAAAUUCCAAUCGAACCUGGAGAUAGCUGGUUCUCUCCGAAAUAGCUUUAGGGCUAGCCUCAAGUGAUGAUUAUUGGAGGUAGAGCACUGUUUGGACGAGGGGCCCCUCUCGGGUUACCGAAUUCAGACAAACUCCGAAUGCCAAUUAAUUUAACUUGGGAGUCAGAACAUGGGUGAUAAGGUCCGUGUUCGAAAGGGAAACAGCCCAGACCACCAGCUAAGGUCCCAAAAUAUAUGUUAAGUGGAAAAGGAUGUGGCGUUGCCCAGACAACUAGGAUGUUGGCUUAGAAGCAGCCAUCAUUUAAAGAGUGCGUAAUAGCUCACUAGUCGAGUGACACUGCGCCGAAAAUGUACCGGGGCUAAACAUAUUACCGAAGCUGUGGAUUGUCCUUUGGACAAUGGUAGGAGAGCGUUCUAAGGGCGUUGAAGCAUGAUCGUAAGGACAUGUGGAGCGCUUAGAAGUGAGAAUGCCGGUGUGAGUAGCGAAAGACGGGUGAGAAUCCCGUCCACCGAUUGACUAAGGUUUCCAGAGGAAGGCUCGUCCGCUCUGGGUUAGUCGGGUCCUAAGCUGAGGCCGACAGGCGUAGGCGAUGGAUAACAGGUUGAUAUUCCUGUACCACCUAUAAUCGUUUUAAUCGAUGGGGGGACGCAGUAGGAUAGGCGAAGCGUGCGAUUGGAUUGCACGUCUAAGCAGUAAGGCUGAGUAUUAGGCAAAUCCGGUACUCGUUAAGGCUGAGCUGUGAUGGGGAGAAGACAUUGUGUCUUCGAGUCGUUGAUUUCACACUGUCGAGAAAAGCCUCUAGAUAGAAAAUAGGUGCCCGUACCGCAAACCGACACAGGUAGUCAAGAUGAGAAUUCUAAGGUGAGCGAGCGAACUCUCGUUAAGGAACUCGGCAAAAUGACCCCGUAACUUCGGGAGAAGGGGUGCUCUUUAGGGUU